UACGAAGGUCCCGAGCGUUAUCCGGAUUUAUUGGGUUUAAAGGGUGCGUAGGCGGGUUAUUAAGUCAGUGGUGAAAGCCUUCAGCUCAACUGAAGAACUGCCAUUGAUACUGAUGAUCUUGAGUACGAUUGAGGUAGGCGGAAUGUGUCAUGUAGCGGUGAAAUGCUUAGAGAUGACAUAGAACACCUAUUGCGAAGGCAGCUUACUACGCAGAUAUUGACGCUCAUGCACGAAAGCGUGGGGAUCAAACAGG
rnacentral:rRNA from 1 species